rnacentral:rRNA from 1 species
UACGAAGGGGGCUAGCGUUGCUCGGAAUCACUGGGCGUAAAGGGUGCGUAGGCGGGUCUUUAAGUCAGGGGUGAAAUCCUGGAGCUCAACUCCAGAACUGCCUUUGAUACUGAAGAUCUUGAGUUCGGGGAGAGGUGAGUGGAACUGCGAGUGUAGAGGUGAAAUUCGUAGAUAUUCGCAAGAACACCAGUGGCGAAGGCGGCUCACUGGCCCGAUACUGACGCUGAGGCACGAGAGCGUGGGGAGCAACAGG